rnacentral:rRNA from 1 species
GACGAACGCUGGCGGCGUGCUUAACACAUGCAAGUCGAGCGGUAAGGCCCUUUCGGGGGUACACGAGCGGCGAACGGGUGAGUAACACGUGGGUGACCUGCCCUCAGCUCUGGGAUAAGCCUGGGAAACUGGGUCUAAUACUGGAUAUGACUCCACGGUGCAUGUCGUGGGGUGGAAAGCCUUGUGCGGCUGAGGAUGGGCCCGCGGCCUAUCAGCUUGUUGGUGGGGUGANGGCCUACCAAGGCGACGACGGGUAGCCGGCCUGAGAGGGCGACCGGCCACACUGGGACUGAGACACGGCCCAGACUCCUACGGGAGGCAGCAGUGGGGAAUCUUGCGCAAUGGGCGAAAGCCUGACGCAGCGACGCCGCGUGAGGGAUGACGGCCUCGGUUGUAACGU